rnacentral:rRNA from 1 species
GACGAACGCUGGCGGCGUGCCUAAUACAUGCAAGUAGAACGCACAGUUUAUACCGUAGCUUGCUACACCAUAAACUGUGAGUUGCGAACGGGUGAGUAACGCGUAGGUAACCUGCCUGGUAGCGGGGGAUAACUAUUGGAAACGAUAGCUAAUACCGCAUAAUAUUGAUUAUUGCAUGAUAAUUGAUUGAAAGAUGCUAUUGCAUCACUACCAGAUGGACCUGCGUUGUAUUAGCUAGUAGGUGAGGUAACGGCUCACCUAGGCGACGAUACAUAGCCGACCUGAGAGGGUGAUCGGCCACACUGGGACUGAGACACGGCCCAGACUCCUACGGGAGGCAGCAGUAGGGAAUCUUCGGCAAUGGACGAAAGUCUGACCGAGCAACGCCGCGUGAGUGAAGAAGGUUUUCGGAUCGUAAAGCUCUGUUGUAAGAGAAGAACGGGUGUGAGAGUGGAAAGUUCACACUGUGACAGUAUCUUACCAGAAAGGGACGGCUAACUACGUG